CAACUUUCAGCAACGGAUCUCUUGGUUCUCGCAUCGAUGAAGAACGUAGCAAAUUGCGAUAAGUCGUGUGAAUUGCACAGUGAAUCAUUGAAUCUUUGAACGCAUCUUGCACCCAUCGGUAUUCCGGUGGGGACGCCUGUUUCAGUGCUAUU
rnacentral:rRNA from 1 species